UCUUUUUGUUCAAACGAUAAAUGAAUAUUGCUAAGCUUAUCUCAAGAAGUAUCUUUAGAUAUGGAUGACAUAAUCAGUUAAUUCGCUAGUGACUUUUGUCUUAACUUUUUAAAUCUAAGUUUUAUUCAACCACGGCGGUCGCUUACCUUAUCCAUAUAAUUGAGGGAAACCUACCAGGGCAUGCAUGUUGGAAAAUCUUUCUGAUCUCUUAUUUAAUAUUCUUUAAUAAUAAUUAAAGAAUAAAUACCGUAAAGAAAAAGAUUAUAAAAGGCAUUUGGAUCGAGGCGUGCAGACCACUGUUGUAAAAGCGAAAUUGGCCCUCUACGUGCAAGACUUUUCGACAAUUACUUAUAGUGAUACAACGUCCACGUUCCACCUCGUCGGCACGCUUCCAAGGUGACACAAGAUGAACCCAACAAGCUUUGGGAGAACCAGUGAAAAUAGUAGAAAACUCGACGAAAACCAGUGUAAAAUAUUAAUAGCGGGAAGAAGCAUAAGUAGUGAUUAGGGUAAGCUCUCAUUCUCUAUUCAACUCAUCCACCCUCCUCCAAUAAAUAUAUACAAGGCAAAAUCUUACUCCUACUCAUUAAUUCCGUGUAGCAUAAGAUAAGCCUACGAGAUACGGAUACGAAUACGGAUUAGGAUUAGAGCUUACAAAAAAUAAAUAAACUCGGUGCCUGGACCGCACGCGUCGCCCGCCCGCCCCGGCUCGUGCUCGCAUGUGUUUAGCCGAGAGCUCUACUCUGAUGUUCUCUCAAACAACUAGCUUGAGAAUAAGGGAGUAUAUAAAGAGCCACACCAUGCCUUUGGUUUUCAAUGUAGUAUUAAACUUCUCAUGUGGAAACCCAAGCACGGACUCCCAAGCAAGGCUUAUAGAGAGUUGGGCUGCCAGGAACCCCAUGGGCAAAUUAGAAGUUUUAAAUCACUUUUAAUACCAACAAUGCAAGCUUUAAAAUGUUACUUAUUCUCAACUAAUCAUAUAUUAGACGCUACUUGGUCGAUACAAAUGCAUUGUCAUCGAACACAAAUAGUAAGAAAGCAAAGGAUAAAUACUCUAAUCAACACUUCUGCAAUAGUACCGAUUGUCCCUAGAGCAAGUGGCAAAGAGUUUGGUGGUUGGUAUCCGAGACCUAAGUUCGAAUCCUAGUUGAUUCACAUUUCUAACUAAAUUUAUUUCUAAAUAAAAUAAACGAAGCAGUUAGCGUGCUACCUAUCUCUCUCAAAAAAAGAAAAAACACGUCCGCAAUACUGCUGUACGUAAAAGACAGCAAAGUCAAGUUACAAAAUUAUGCAAACGACUUAGAAAUCACCAUGUAUAUAUACUUUUUCACCACAAACCGGAUUACAAGACACUAACUAAACGUGCCCUUGGCCUAAGAUGGCACAAGGAAGAGCAUCCCCGUCCCCGCCAUGAUCAUAAAUAUUUGCAGCAGCAAACUAACAUAGUAAAAAACUUCAAGGAUCGAAAGCCAUGCUUCGUCGUGCUGCUGUUCGCCAUCCUGCGGUUCAAACAUGAGGCCUAUCCAGAUCAGGCCGGAUACGAUGGCCAAGAGCUGGAAGAAUGCCCAGACUCUUAUCCCUGUACUCAUGUAAUAAUGCUCUGGUACGUCCCCCACACUCGCCACGCAUAUGGUUGCGAGUAGGGCAACAUUGAUUGAGAUGAGAAUUGCAAAGCCGUCCCUUAUCACACCCGCAGAGCGUGGGUCAUGGUAUAAGGGUCGAGGGCUAGUUGGAUCUAUCAGGCCGAUACCGAUACGGUCCUGGGUGAAGUAUACGCAGAUAGGGGCGAGCACCAGCAAGAACACGCCCGCGACCAAAAUUCCCAAGAACUGCAUGGCCAGCGCAGCGGCUGAUAGCCCGAGGAGAACCAAAAUAGCAGCGCUGCUGUAUCUCACAAAGCUUAAAAUGAUCCCUCUCCAAAAGGAGUAAUGAACAGUUAAGGGGAUGGAGGUGGCCAGCAUAGUGAAGAUGCCAACCAUGGAGAUCAGGAAGAAGAGACUUAGCGCCGAUUGGAAACUUUGCAAUGCUCGGAGCGGAGGGCUGUUGAAGGAAGCAUAAAUCAUACCCGUUUGUACGGUGAUGGCCAUAGUUGCAAUAGUAGUAGCGAACUUGAAGGCCUUCUCUCGCUCCGGUUUGUAGCUGUUGAAGAUGUGCAACAUAUAUGCAUGUUAAUUGAAAACCCCACCAUUAACUAUAACUUAGCUAGAGGCUGCCAUGCAUCACCCCUCAAAAAUGACCUAAAUAUAAGUUUAAUUAGCCGAUUCCGUUAUUUAUUUAGUAAGGUUACCGAUGAAAAAAUGACAUAAAUGUUAGAUCGAGUAUUCUUUAAACUCACGUAUGUAAUUCAAAUUAAAGAGCAAAUUACAGCUUAGCUUCAACUUUUCGAAGCACAACUUAUUUGCAGUAUUGAUACUUUUUUGACAAAUAGAAUUAAAGGAACAUUUUAGCGCCAAGUUUUUUUUUGUCAAAAAUCAUUAAAUUUAGUACCCAAGUCUUCUUUCUCUCAAUAAACCUAACAUCCAAUAACAGUGUGAGCAAAUUUGGUACAUUUACGAGAAGUACGUGAGAUACUAAUUGAGUUCACCUUAUAAGAAUAAGAGUAGAAGUAAAACUUUUAUCCGAAAAAAAAGUUCUAGGCUAGCAAUACUAUCUUUUUUUGGAGGAAAAAAAUAUAAGAUAUAUAUACUAUCUUUUCUCGGCUAACAAUACUAUGGAAACUUAUAAAUUAAAACAUAGGAUAUACCUUUCAUGGUCGGCACUGUCGUGGUCGUUAACAUUUUGUGUAGCCGUAUAUCCAAGGAAGCCGAUGAUAGAGAUCACAGGAAUUACAAUAAGACUCAUCCCUGCACAGUCUUUGUUCUGGAGUACUAAGGAGAAAAAGCUUGUCACAAUUAAAAGUACACAAGAUAUGGUCAUGGCGCUUAUCAGGUAUAUCUUCCGGUUUCGGUCGAUUGGAUUAUAACGCAUUGUGUAGAACAACAACAAGAUGGGGGAUUGAAUAGUAAGCCAGAUGAGGAAAUUGUAGGCUUUGAUAACUGUGGAGGAAUGCAUGGCUCUUAUAUCUUUGUCUCCCUUUGAAAAUGUGAAGGGUAUCGCAGAAGCCAUGACUAUUAUCGCAAGCAAGAACAAUAUGAUUUGCUUCAACUGGUCCCUAACCACUUCGGUUUGCUGUUCAUUUUCUCCACCAUUUCUUCCUCCCUGUUGGUUUAUCUGCAGCUAGAUUAAACAAGUAAGUGUUACAUAUAUAUAUAUAUAUAUAUAUAUAUAUAUAUUAUCGCAAGCAAGAACAAUAUGAUUUGCUUCAACUGGUCCCUAACCACUUCAGUUUGCUGUUCAUUUUCUCCACCAUUUCUUCCUCCCUGUUGGUUUAUCUGCAGCUAGAUUAAACAAGUAAGUGUUACAUAUAUAUAUAUAUAUAUAUAUAUAUAUAUAUAUAUGCAUGAAUUGGUAUGCAAAUUAUGGGCCACAGGAAAUUAGCAAACAUAUUUAGAAGAUAGAGAAGAAAGAGAGCUUCAUUAUAUAUAGAUUAGGCAUCAUGAGAUAAUUCAUUAACCAAAACUUUCACUUUUGGCAAGCUCAAAAGGUUUAUCACGAAAUGAAGAGCACAAUUCGAGAGAUAUAAAACUUAUAGAUGCAUCACAGGCUUAUAAUUUUGACUAUAAGACGCAAAAGUUCAGCACCACCCGCACCCCCCCAAACGUUCAGCACCAUCCACACAUCCCCCACCCCCCCAACAAAAGUUCAGCACCACCACAACCCCCGCCCCCCAACCCACCCAAAAGUUCAGCACCGGCCACCACCACCCAACCCAAAAAAAAAAAAACCCUAUGAUGAAAUGAAACUGCAGGUGCAGCAGCAGAAGAACAAGACCAUCUAGCUCUCUCUCAAAAAAAAGCGAAGAACAAGACCUGAGUAGUAAUUGAAUGAAAUUCGUCCGGCAUUUGGUGAAAUGAAGGGAGGCCUUCUGAUUAUCUGUGAAUACGCAAACUAAAGGUAGCUGGACAAGAAUGCUUGUUAUAGAAAGAGGUUUUGGGCAGCCAAAUUCCCACAGGCAUUUUUGCAAACUGUCCAAGGAGGAAAUUUGGUGUCAUUCAUAGAUUCCACCAGAUCAUUCCUGAUGGACUGCUUCCUGACAACUAGAGUAUUUAACAGAACAGAAGAAAAAAAAGGUGAACAACAAAUAUUCUCCAACAUAUUGGGGAAAGCAUGAGAUAUGUAUUUCCAAGGUUCUCUGAUAGGACAAUACCUACGAGAACCACCCCUAGUUACAUUUACACAAUUCUCACCAUCUUUCCUCUUUUGUCCAAAUUUAAUAAAGCAUAACCGGAAGCAAAGGUAGUUCUUUGAUUCGUACAAAUCAAGAAUACUUACUUGGUA